GAAGCCAAGUGUUAGUGGCCAGCCAGGAGUCUGGUUCCCCAAGUUAACAGCAUCCGAAUAAUUUGCACUGAUUCACUGAGCAUUGCUAAUCUGUUAAUAAUGCUCAGUAGAAGCUCUAAUCACACUGCAUACCUGGCAGCCUCAGUGAAUUUCGUGUGUCUUACAGUACUUACAUAAGCACUUGAACUGAAGGAUUUAGCUGACCCACAUAUUUAAUGGAAUUUUGCUGAAGCACUGGGACACCUUCAGCAUUUCCCGAAGCCUUUAGUACUUUCAUAACACCUUUGUGAGGAAGCGCCAGCUGCAAGUAGAAAAGAGCCACUCAGACAUCAAGUGCCUCAGUCAGAGGUAACAGAACUGUCCCAUGGUGGGGCUGAGGAUGCACCCUGACCUGCCACCCCCACUCUGCCAUGUCAAUCUUAUAAAACCACACAGGGCUGUUCUUUAAGAACUCAUUCCAGUAAUCAAAAUUCUUUCUGGACAAUAAAAUACAUAGUAAUGUAGUUCACUGAGACCAGCAAAUGAUAUACUUGUUCAGAAAAGUAAUUGUUCAUCUCAGGACACGUUAAUUUUAUUUUUAGAAAGGUGUGUUCAUACAGUUUGUGUAUUUUUUUUUUCCAAAGCAAAGCUGGGUUUGUUUAAUUUUCUAGCAGACAGAAUUCGGAAUAACGGACAAUAGAUACACACCUGUCAUCUCCAGAAAAAAAAGUGAGACUGAGGUUUCACAGCAUGCAGGAAUGGAGCUUGUCUACUCUUUUCAUCUGUUGUCGCCUUCCCUUUUGCCAAUAAUUUUAGAUGAGGAGGAAGUGAACUGAUAAAUAUAUGCAGUCUCACUGCAGUCUUUCCUGGUAACAGUGCUAGUAGGUUAUGGAUGAAGUCAGUCAAAGCAGGCACGUUGAUUAGAAAGUCAGAAGACUUCUCACAUACACUUGCAGCAAACCUUGCACUGAGGACUAAAAAUGGAGUGGUUUACAUCACUCUUUUCUGAGACAUCUCCUGAUGGUAAUAUCCAAAGAUAUCCCAGCAGUGAUAUAACUGACACAAUAGUUACUGCCUCCUCAUCUACAUUCAUCUUCCCGAAAGAGUUUUUAUUUUGGCUACCUCUUCUCUCCUCUGGUUCUUCCAUUUCCUCCCCCUCUCUGAUGCACCCUCUAUCACCAGGCAUCAGCAGCGGGGUCGGAUUCCACUCCUGCAACAAAGGGACACCUCUUCCCACUGCUGGCCCUUGGCCAUCUGCUACUGCUGGCACUGUGGGGGUCAUCCUGCAAAUGGUUUGCAUCCAGGCUCCAGCAGGCCAUUGAUCAGUUACUAACAGAACUGAGUAGAGACCUCCAAGGCAGGAUGAACUGGCAAGAGCAGAGAAGGCAGAUUGUAAAAAAACCCAACCAGCCAUUGUAACAUGCACAGGAAGACAGCUUGAGUUUGAAUAUUAGCUUCUUUGUUCCUUUCUAACAGAUACUUCCAUUGAAUAGUAAAUGAGCAAUGUCAUUUGGUAUUUUGAGAAUGAUUAAAAGCUAAGACAAAAAAUAA